rnacentral:rRNA from 1 species
UACGAAGGGGGCUAGCGUUGCUCGGAAUCACUGGGCGUAAAGGGUGCGUAGGCGGGGCUUUAAGUCAGGGGUGAAAUCCUGGAGCUCAACUCCAGAACUGCCUUUGAUACUGAGGAUCUUGAGUCCGGGAGAGGUGAGUGGAACUGCGAGUGUAGAGGUGAAAUUCGUAGAUAUUCGCAAGAACACCAGUGGCGAAGGCGACUCACUGGCCCGGUACUGACGCUGAGGCACGAAAGCGUGGGGAGCAAACAGG